ACACUCAUGCAGCAGCAGCAGCAGCAGCAGCAGCAGCAGCAGCGGACAGCCCUGAGGAGCAUGGGGCCUGCUGGGACUCGUCUCCUGCUGUGCUUCAGCUCCUGCCCGAUCACUUACCUGUGCCAGGAGAAGCCUCUGGACAUGCCUGGGCAGCCUCUGGACAUGCACUGCUCCCAUUCCUCGCUGAGAGGGCAUCUCCCCGAGUGCCUCUCCAUCCCAGUAGACUCUCCAGAUGUGCCCAGUCCUCAACUGGUGUGGCCUCACCAGAGAGACUCAGACCAAACAGGCCUCCACAGCCUCUCUCUAGACACUUUCUGGGAAACCACAGUGGAAUACAAAAGGUCCUCAUUUGCCCUGAACCCUGGGAAGCCCUGUGGCAUUGGUUCAUGAGUGCUGUGGUCGGUUAUUUGGAACUUAAUUCUCUUGGUAUUUGCCACUUCCCAGUUGUCCCCUUUACUGUUCACAGUCCCCACCUAUAAUCCUCAGCUUCCUGGCACUUCCAGAGCCUAUAUUAACGUACCAAUUUUUUGUACCCCAUUUAGGGCACCAACUGUUCUGAUCUCUUGAAGAGCUCCUCAGGCAACCUUCUGUUUCUAGCAAGAUGAUACACCCAAGCCUUGAUGACAAGGCUUGGCUCUCAACCUCCUUGCUCCCCACCUCCUGUGAAAUACACAAAGAAAUUCAGUGAUCAUCGGGGAUGCUCUGGUCCAAACACUACCUGCCAGCCAGACGCAGGAGAUGGAUGGCUCAGCAGUAAUCGUGCUGCUUGAGCUUGGUGUCUAAUGGGGACAGUAGUGACAGGUGACAGGAAGUUCACAGGGACUGGAAGACAUGAGUUCUCUGAGGGAAAGGAAGGUGAAGCCUGGUGCUUAGGACCCUCAGGAGACCAUAGGAUGUGAGAAGGCUCAAGACGCCCAGAGGUGGGGUCAGAAACAGGGCAAAGGAGACCAAGCAUGGGAGGGCUGCAGUGGACGUGUACAGACAGGAGAAGCAGGCCCUAAAGAAUCCCUGAGGCGGCAGAGAGGCUGGGCUGUGGAACUUUUUAAUUACUUUGCAUUAGGGGACUGUAGAGACCCAGAAGUCCACCCUUCCCCUCCCCUCAUCAGCUUAGCCCCAACAUAUGGUGGCUACCAAAGUAGUUAAAUCGGCUCUUGGUAGAAAAGGAAAGAGAUUCCUCCCAGGCUCUUCCCAGGGUCCACAGCCACACUCCAGGAGGGCUCAACUCCAGGGCAAGGCAGCUGGGACAGCAGGCAGCUGAAGGAGGACUAUUACUGCACCUUAGGGAAGAGUGCAGUGGCGAGUGGGGAGGACUCUGCUGGGACCCGGGGGUCAUGUGCAUUCCCAUUUAGUUGAGCUCUGCUUAAUCCGGGCCUAGGCUCACAGUAAUGGGGAACGAGGAGAGGCUCCCAUCAGAGACCAAGAAGAUGACAGCCUCUCUGUAAAGGCUGUUAGAGGGGUCUGCAUGACCAACCACACCUGCUCCUGUUCCUUUGGGGCUCUUGUGACCUCCCUGUCUUCUUGUGAGAUCUUAUGUUCCUCCAACCCUGAGAGCUACAAACCAAUCUCCGGAAUAAAAAAUCUGUCCCUCGU
rnacentral:lncRNA from 1 species